rnacentral:tRNA from 1 species
UGGAAGGUUGGCCGAGUGGCUUAAGGCACCUCAUUGAUACUGAGGCGUGCGGGUUUAACCCCGCACCGCGGGUUCGAAUCCCGCACCUAUUAG